CUAACUGUAACCUUCUGUAUUUGUCUUAGAAGUAUUUUUGUUGUCAUUCUGGUUAAAUAGAUAAGUAUUGCUUCCUUUCCUAGCAACCUAUAAUCCUAUUUAAGCAAGUGCCAAAGAAACUUUCUUCUGACAACUUCCCAAAAUCAAAUUCAAAAAGGUGCUUUUACCUCUAGUUAACUCUGAUAUGUUCCAGACGGCCCCUGGAACAGGUCAGAGGAAUUUUUUUUCUCGUUGAGGAAAGUAUUUAGCUAAUUUAGCUUAUUUAUCUGAUAUAUAAUUAUCUGCUUAAUUACCUGGAAAGCACUGUCAAAGAGAAUGAUGCUAAACUUUGUUACUGAAUGUUUUUUUGUUACAGUAGUAUCCCAAUUUCCUUAUGUCAACUGUCUUACAGUAAGCUCUCGUCAGAUCUUUAGCCAUUGUCAUUUGUAAGUCUUCUUUUCAUUUAUAGUCACUGUUUUAUUACUCCUACACUAGUAAAGAACUAUAUUUCAGCAGAACAAGUAUUGGUUACAUAGGUUUAAGUAAACUAAGGAAGAUGAUUUCGUGGCUUUUUGUUUCAAAUGUUACUCUUAAAGUGUUUUAAGCUUUUUCUCUAAAGCUGACAACAGUUUAUUAAAUGACUGUCUUUAUAAGCAGAAUUGAAACUUUAUCUUUCUCUCUACCUGAUCCCUCCAGAAUUUAAAAACUCUCAGUGACUAUUUUUAUAUUUCAUGGCAGUAUGUUUAUUUGCAUAAGUUCAAUAAGAAUCUGCUUUCCUUGUAAGAGGACCAAUUAAAAACACUGGUUAUAUUACCAAGGCUUUGACUGGAAUGUUAUACCUGAGAGACACGUGUGUAAACUCAGAUAUGAACAGACAGCUUUAAGGAACAAGUUCACUUUAUAAAGCCAACAAAGCCCCUUGGAAGAACUGGCCUGGUACCUUGCUUACAGGGUUCCCAGCAGCCUUACCAGGUGAGUAAGGAAGGUCACUUCCUGGCAGGUGCAGGAACCUCAGGAUGUCUUGAAGACCUCAAGAAGAGAGGAAUUCACCCAAAUGCAUAGGUACUGCAGGUACAACCUGAUGGCAAGUCUGGCUUGGCUUUCUGGCCUCAAGAGGCCUUUAAAAGUUCAAUCUGAAACUCCUUAUGAAAAGUUCCAGCAAAGCACAUUUUUAAAAAGCCUAUAUAAUCAAUUGCUCUUCUUAAUGCACUUAUACAAAUUAUCAAGCCAAGUGUUAAUUAUUUUCUUAAUAUGGUUACUUCUAAUAAAAAUGAGGGUAAUGUUAGAGAAAAGUGUUGUUUCAAUAAUGCAGCCUUUAUCUAUACUAAAUACUAAUACUAGUCAUUGAGACAUAAACUAGAUCCAGAAUUCUAGUUUCCCCAAAAUAUCUAACUAUUAUUCUCCAAAUGUGUUAGUUUUCUCCCACUAUUUCAGUUAAAGUUUUACUAUUUCUAGUUCUUGUAUUCAACCAUGCAUUCUUAAUCUCAUCAAGUUUGUCUUUCCAGAAUGAAAAAUUCAACUCCAGAUAUUGCUAUUUAACCUAAUAACACAAUUUGUUCUAUCUUGCCUAGAAGCCAUAAAACUACAAAUAGUAACAGAAAUGGAAACUGAAAUAGAAGUUCCCAUCUUCUGAAGCCCUCUCAACUGACCACUGAUGGAGACCUAACUGCACCGUUUACUGCGCCCCUUCUCAGCAUGAAGGAGUCAGAGCAGUCAUCGCCCCCUUUCCCUAGCAGCAGCUAGAGUCUCUAUCAUCAGAAGGGAAAAUGAAACAAGAACCAUGGGCUUAGAUAGAGUAGAGUGAGGGCCUCUGGAAAAAGCAAGACAAGAUAUUUACAGUCAAAGCAAUGCAACAAUGUAAAGUCCCUAUCAAAACUGUGUUCAGCAUUAUGCAAAGUGAAGAGCACACUAAUUCUCCAGGGUAAACAUACCAGAGUAGGAAUAUAGACAACUUCAGUGAGAUCAGUUAAAAAUUCAAAAGGCCAGGAGCAACUUGUCCUAGAAUGUUUGAGUGUUCUACAAGAGUAUCUCAGCAUUACCCAUGACUUCACUGUAAACAAGCCCCAGAUCUUAGAACUCUUAAAGGCAAUUUGGCUGCCUAAGAGAGCGGCCAUAAUGCACUGUCCAGGACAUCAAAAAGGAAUUUCACCUGAGGCAAGGGGAAACCAUGCAGCUGACCUGGCAGCCGGAGAAGUAGCCCUGAAAAAAAAAAUCUCAGAAUUAAUUAUGACCUUGCCACCACCCAUGUUGCAAGAGAAGCCACAUUAUAAUAGAAAAGACAUAGAGUUUGCUGCAGAGUAUGGGGCAAAAGAAAACAGUGAAGACUGGAUGAUCCACCCUGAUGAGAGAGUUAUGCUCCCUGCUGUGCUGGGAAAGGACUUGCUGAAACAGACACACAGUAGCACCCAUUUGAGUAAAAAUAAAAUGAUAGACUUAGUCCAGAAAGACUUCUAGGUCCCUGGAGCAUGAAAUAGGAGAAAGUUGCAUUGUCUGUCAACAAGUAAAUCCCUCCCAACAGGUUACACAAUUACAGGGAAAUAGGGAGAGAGGAGAAUCCCCGGGGCAACAUUGAGAAGUAGAUUUCACUAAGAUAAAACCUAGAUAAUAUGGGUACAAAUAUUUGUUAGUUUUUGUAAAUACCUUCUCUGGGUAAGUAGAGGCUUUCCCAACAAAGACAGAAACAGCCCAAGUGACUGUGAUAAAGCUUCUAAAUGAAAUAGUCCCCCGGUUCAGGUUGCCACUGCCUAUGGGGUCUGAAAACAUACCGGCUUUUGUGGCACCACUGACCCAAGGAGUUGUUAGUGCCCUGAAUUUCCCAUGGAAACUUCAGUGUGCUUACAGGCCCCAAAGUUCAGGCCAGGUUGAAAGGAUGAAUCAGACCCUGAAAGAGACUCUUACUAAGUUAACUUUGGAAAAUGGUGAAGGGUCGGUACAGCUCCUCCCCUUAGCACUUCUCUGGGUAAGGUGCACCCAAUAUAUUUUAAAGCUCACCCUUUUGAGAUUCUGUUUGGUUGACCCCUCCUAUCCUCCCCCAUGUAGGCUUGGAAAAAGCUACAGAAACCUCUAAUCAAGAAAUUGUGCAGUCCUCACAGGUCCUACAAAGAGUGCAAAACCAAAUCCACUCCCUGGUGAAGGCUGCCAUACAGGGAAACGAUCUGCCAGAACAACACUCGUUCCAGCCAGGAGACGUUCUGUGGGUAAAACGACAUAAGACUGAGGUACUGGGGGCCCGGUGGAAAGGACCUUACCCAGUCGUCUUGACAACCCCUACAGCUGUGAAGUUUGCUGGUGUAAGACCAUGGAUCCAACACACACAGUUUAAGCGAGCUAGAGAGGGGGAGGAAAACCCCACUACUUGGACAGUGGUGAAGCCACCGCCCAACCAAGACCCGCUAAAGAUAAGACUCAAAAGGAAAACCAAAAACUCAGAUGUAUUGUUUUAAUAUUGUUUUUAGAAGCUCUACCUGCUCCCAGUCUUGCCACCCAGCACCCCCACUGGCCAGGAAAUUACUCAUGGAAUUUAAUCAAUACAGCCUUGGGAAAGAAUAUUGUUAGUUUUACAGGAAGUGACCCCCCCAGUUUUUAGAUUUGAUCUCUUUGAACUAUGGCCAGAACUAUCCACUUAUAAGUAUCCUAAGAAUAAGGAUGACAAGGGUUUUCAAAGAGCAUUCCAAAGGUGGGACUUUUUAUGUUUGCCCAGCAAAUCGGGGGGCCAACUUUUAGGGAAAUGGACACUAUCAUUGUGCAAAUUGGGGAUGUGAAACCACAGCCCCCUGGACAGACCAUGACCCCUAUAUUUCCGUGUCUUGAGACAGCUUCCUUGACCUUGAUACAGCUAGAAAGAUGAACCCACUAAAAUUAAAAGUUAAAAAUUAGGACCCUUAUAGGGUGGGAAAGGAUUGGGAGAAAGGAAAGACUUGGAGGCUCCGGCUACAUAUAAGGGGCCAGGACCCAAGAACCGAGUUCACUAUCCAAAGAGUUCAAAUACCCCAGCUUCUGAACCCUGUGGGCCCCCUCCGAGAGGUACCCUUGUUAAAUCCGGUGCCCCUUCCAAUGAGAAGAACACUGCAACUCCCCACCCCAGUGCCAAAGCCCCACACUGAGCCAUCAAGUGGGAAUAUUAGCUUAACAGAACCUCCUGACCCCAGCCUGUUAAUGACCACUACAAGACCCCAGACCAGAUACUUGAGAUGCUAGAGUCAAUCUACAGAUUUGUAAAUUAAUCCACUGUCAAUUUAACAAAUGAUUGCUAGUUCUGCCUAAAUCCCAAACCUCCUUAUUAUGUUAGUCUAGCCGCAAAUGCGACCCUGGGACAAGAAGAAAACAUUCGCCUUUUUAGUCUAGAUGAGAUCAGGGACAGAGGUCUCUGCCCAUGGGGAUUGCACCCCUUGCUUACCUUGGGAGAUGUGCAAGGCACAGGGUUUUGCAUCCAUUCCCCUUCAUAUUCAACCAAAAAUCCUCAUCUUCAGAAACUGUGAAACUACUCUAAACUACACUUCCCCCGCCUCUAGUGAAAAAGUUAACUUCCUGGUUAGCCCAUCUGCCACGUGGUUUGCUUGUACCAGCAGAUUAACCCCUUGUUUGAGCAAUUAAUAACAGCUAGUGUAGGAGACCUAAGGGCACCCGAGCUCUAUAUUUUGGUUCACAUCCUCCCUCAAGUUUAUAACAGGGAAGCCGGUAGAGAACACAUGGGCUUAAUAUAUUCUCUUAGAACAAAAAGAGCAGCCCCCAUCCUAGUGCCCCUCCUAGUUGGGCUGAGAAUAGCAGGAUCAGUAGCAGUAGGGACUGCUUCUUUUGUUGUAAAUAAUGCCAAUUUCAAAGUGCUCAGUAAACAAGUAGAUAAAGAUCUAGGGACGUUAGAGAGCUAAGUCCAUCAGUUAGAGUCAGCUGUAGACUCCCUAGCAGGGGUAGUCUUGCAAAAUAGGGGAGGGCUGGACCUCCUCUUUAUGAAAAAAGAGGGAUUUUGCAUGGCAUUAAGUGAAACCUGCUGCUUCUAUGCAGACAAAUAAGGCAUUAUUCAAGAUACUUUGGCUAUGGUGAGACAGAACCUCAAAGAAAGAGGUUCAGAGGGAAGCAACAGCAAACUGGUAUCAAGGCCUGUUCUCAUAGUCCCCUUGGCCAACAACCCUCCUGACAGCCCUUGCAGGUCCCCUUGCUCUCCUCCUGCUUGUAGUUACUAUAGGGCCCUCUGUUAUAAAUUGUCUCAUGAGUUAUAUUCAGAAGAGACUAGUGGCAAUAAAGCUACUUUUCAUUAAAGAACAUUACAAAGCCAAAAAAAAAAAAACUGAAGAGUCAAUGGUUUGACUCUGUUACAAGGAGAGGGGGGAAUGUGAGGGGCUGAAGCAAUUUCAGACAUAAAAAUAGGAAACAAAGCUCUCUGUAAAGUUAGCCCAGACCCUAGACACGUACCAACUUCUGAGAAACUAAAGGAAAAGAUAUAAAUCCCAUGAGAAACAGGAUGUUCAACUAACUCCACGCUAUUUUUGCUUCUGUACAUUGCUUUGUUAGAGACCAACAGUUUCACACAUUUCCUGCAGCAGGUGGGCAAAACAGGAUGCUUAAGCCCCCGGAGCAUUGAACAAAGAAUAUAGCUUGCUGAAUUUAGGCGAAGGCGGAAAAGUUGCAAAAACUAAGCAGGAUGCGGUAAAAAUGCUUAAAAAGAUGUUGUAACAGAGGCUCGGGGCUGCACUUGGAGAGCUUGCUCCUUGGCAGAUGCCAGCCGGCUAAAAUAAAGGCUCCCUUUUUAUAAUCUA